GACGAACGCUGGCGGCGUGCUUAACACAUGCAAGUCGAGCGGAAAGGCCCUGCUCUUGUGGGGUGCUCGAGUGGCGAACGGGUGAGUAACACGUGAGUAACCUGCCCUUGACUUUGGGAUAACUUCAGGAAACUGGGGCUAAUACAGGAUAGGAGCUCCUGCUGCAUGGUGGGGGUUGGAAAGUUUCGGCGGUUGGGGAUGGACUCGCGGCUUAUCCGCUUGUUGGUGGGGUAGUGGCUUACCAAGGCUUUGACGGGUAGGCGGCCUGAGAGGGUGACCGGCCACAUUGGGACUGAGAUACGGCCCAGACUCCUACGGGAGGCAGCAGUGGGGAAUAUUGCACAAUGGGCGGAAGCCUGAUGCAGCAACGCCGCGUGCGGGAUGACGGCCUUCGGGUUGUAAACCGCUUUCGCCUGUGACGAAGCGUGAGUGACGGUAAUGGGUAAAGAAGCACCGGCUAACUACGUG
rnacentral:rRNA from 1 species